UAUUAAAAAUUUUGUCCAUUUCGACUAUUGAGAACUGACGUGGCUGACAAAAUAAUUAGACAAUCACGUGUACCUCAUGCUGAUAUACAAUAACCAUUUUUUAACAGUAGAAGUGAAUAGAAUUUUUAACA
rfam:Gossypium hirsutum cultivar TM-1 chromosome 21, whole genome shotgun sequence